UAGUCCACACCGUAAACGAUGUCUACUAGCUGUGUGAGCAUUUAAUGUAUGCGUAGCGAAGCUAACGCGAUAAGUAGACCGCCUGGGGAGUACGGCCGCAAGGUUAAAACUCAAAUGAAUUGACGGGGGGCCCGCACAAGCGGUGGAGCAUGUGGUUUAAUUCGAUGCAACGCGAAGAACCUUACCAUCCCUUGACAUCCAGAAAAUUCAGCAGAGAUGCAGAAGUGCCUUCGGGAAUUCUGUGACAGGUGCUGCAUGGCUGUCGUCAGCUCGUGUCGUGAGAUGUUGGGUUAAUCCCGCAACGAGCACAACCCUUGUCCUUAGUUACCAGCAUUAAGUUGGGUACUUUAAGGAGACUGCCGGUGACAAACCGGGAGGAAGGUGGGGACGACGUCAAGUCAUCAUGGGCCCUUACGGGGAUGGGGCUACACACGUGCUACAAUGGCAAGUACAGAGGGGAAGCGAGACGGGUGACGUGGGAGCGGGAACCC
rnacentral:rRNA from 1 species